rnacentral:sRNA from 1 species
GAAAAGGGCGGGUUAAAAUGACUAGCAAGUAGGCUAUACAGAGAAAUCAUGGUUCCAGAAUGGGAUUGUUUAGUUGUUUUCUACUUCUUCUAUAGGAAUGUUUAGAUUAAAGAUUUCAUAUGCAACGAGCUUUAAGUACGAGUACUAGGAAAAUGUACUGGUAUUCAUUGCCCUAUAAACCAUGCAUAAAAUGGCAUGCACAUAGAUUUGAUUGUUCUUGGCUGUGAUAAGAGAACUGAACAAAAAAAGGCAUUCCAAAUGUGUACACCAAUGCUUUGAACAAAUUAUAACAUAUCGAGAGAGAGUACUUUUUCAUUCCACAUAUUUACAUUCUUGAAAUGUUGGCCAGAGUCAAUCAACUUGCAUAUGUAGCAAAUUAUUUGUGUGUUGGUUAAUAUAUGUAAUACUAUCUAUAUUGCAAUAUAAAAGUAUAUUUUUACACCUAAAACUUGGUUAAUGAAUACAUGUUUUAAUUUGUAUUAUUUGACAAUGUAUGAAUUUCAAAAUAAUCCUGAAGUAAACAGGAAAAUGAU